rnacentral:misc_RNA from 1 species
UCCGAGUUGACCCCGGCAGUCUUCCAUGAGUUCCCACCAUCACGUGCUGGCAACAUAGAACGAGGGUUGCGCUCGUUGCGGGACUUAACCCAACAUCUCACGACACGAGCUGACGACAACCAUGCACCACCUGUACACCAGUCCGAAGAGGCGACUAUCUCUAGCCGUUUCCAGUGUAUGUCAAGCCUUGGUAAGGUUCUUCGCGUUGCAUCGAAUUAAUCCGCAUGCUCCGCCGCUUGUGCGGGCCCCCGUCAAUUCCUUUGAGUUUUAGCCUUGCGGCCGUACUCCCCAGGCGGGGAACUUAAUGCGUUAGCUACGGCACGGAAUCCGUGGAAUGGACCCCACACCUAGUUCCCAACGUUUACGGCAUGGACUAC